rnacentral:misc_RNA from 1 species
CAUGGGAGUUGGUUCUACCCGACGACGCUGCGCUAACCUUCGGGGGGCAGGCGGCCACGGUAGGAUCAGCGACUGGGGUGAAGUCGUAACAAGGUAGCCCUAGGGGAACCUGGGGCUGGAUCACCUCCUUUCUAAGGAUGUUUCUAGCAGCUUAAGCUUGCUUUUGUUCGUGAAACACUUAGCAGAUUGGCAAACAAAGCCGAUCAUAUAUCGAACCGGACUGUCCUCAUAUCUCUUCAGUAUACAUCAGACCUACCGGUCUGUACUGGGUCGGUAGCUCAGGUGGUUAGAGCGCACGCCUGAUAAGCGUGAGGUCGGAGGUUCAAGUCCUCCUCGACCCACCAUUAACGCGUCUAUUUUAGGAUAUGGCGUGUAGGGGGCCUUAGCUCAGAUGGGAGAGCGCCUGAUUUGCAUUCAGGAGGUCAGCGGUUCGAUCCCGCUAGGCUCCACCAUAUAACAAGUUUUAAUCAGAUCGCGAAGCACAAUGGUUUGUGUUUCGCCGUCCGAUUGGACGCAUUGACAUCGUUUAGAGAGAUACAAAUAUCAACAUUGUUUGAUCGCCCGAAGUAGCGGGAUGAUCUCAAUUUGGUGAAGCAAGUUUAGGCUUGUGGAGAGCUUUUGGAUACACCCUUUUCCUCGGGUGCCCUUAAGUAUGCUGGGUUGAAACGAACAUGUUGUCCAAGUCAAGUACACUAACCCGAGCAGCAGUAAUGUUGCUCAACAGUUCAAACACACCGACAUGUGUUUGAGCGGGAAAGUAUGACUUUUGACCGGAAGAUGAGAUGCCUGGUGAACCAGCUUGGCAUCAUUCAGACGCAAGUCUGACUUUUUCUGGAUCAAAUCAAGCGCGAAAAGGGCGUUUGGUGGAUGCCUUGGCAGUAAGAGGCGAUGAAAGACGUGAUACUCUGCGAUAAGCCAUGGGGAGCUGAGAAUAAGCUUUGAUCCAUGGAUUU